rnacentral:rRNA from 1 species
UACAGAGGUGGCAAGCGUUGUUCGGAUUUACUGGGCGUAAAGGGCGCGUAGGCGGCGCGGUAAGUCACUUGUGAAAUCUCUGAGCUUAACUCAGAACGGCCAAGUGAUACUGCAGUGCUAGAGUGUGGAAGGGGCAAUCGGAAUUCUUGGUGUAGCGGUGAAAUGCGUAGAUAUCAAGAGGAACACCUGAGGUGAAGACGGGUUGCUGGGCCAGCACUGACGCUGAUGCGCGAAAGCCAGGGGAGCAAACGGG